rnacentral:sRNA from 1 species
AAAUUUGGUUUUAGCCUCUUUUGGCCGAAAAUGGUUAUAAGUGUUAUCUAAACACUCCUAAUCCAUCUCUAACUCUUAUAAUUAGUCGAAUGCAUUGGAUUGUGAUACAUUUUGACCAUAGAAACACUAACAAAGCUAUUUACUGUGUCUAAGCAAAUAUUUGUUGGUUUAAGCCUCUUUUGGGAUAAAAUGGGUAUAAUUGUUGUCUAAACACUCCUAAUCCAUCUCUAACUCUAUAAUUAGUCCAAUGCAUUGGAUUGUGAAACAUUUUGACGAUAGAAACACUAACAAAUCUAUUGAGUUGUUCUAAGCAAGUUUUGUUGGUUUUAACCUCUUCUGGGAG